rnacentral:tRNA from 7 species
GGAAGUAUGGCAGAGCGGCCGAAUGCACUGGUCUUGAAAACCAGCGUCGUGAGAGCGACCGGGGGUUCAAAUCCCUCUACUUCCGCCA